GGAAAUUUAAAAACUACUGUUAGCUUGAAAAAUAGACAUUUGAGAUUUGUCCAUGUUAUUAUGAGUAAAAAUUUUACUCGUAAAUUUAGUUAUGAGUAAAAUUUUAUUGGCAGUUAAACUUUUACUCAUGGUGACGUGGACGAAUCUCACAUAUUUAUUUUUCGAUCCAAUAACAGUUUUUAGGCUUUU
rnacentral:pre_miRNA from 1 species